GUCGCCUCUCGAGUAGGAGGGAUGCCAAAUGGGUAUGGAUAUCCGAAAUUUUAUCCGAAUUCGAAUUCUGAAUGAAACGAAUAUAUUCGGUGGAUAUGAAUAUGGAUUCGGAUAUGGAUAUCAAAAAUAGAAACCCGACAGAUAUGAAUUGCGGGGCGGCCGCAGGCGUGAGCGCAGGCGUGGUCGCAGUCGCAGGCGCGGGUCCUCUCUCUCUUCUUCUUCUUUUUUUUUUCUCUUUUCUAAUUUUUUCUUUAAUUAUUUUGUAUGGCUGUCGAUAAAAAAAUAAAAAAAUAAAAAUAAAAUCUAAAAUUUAAUUUUAAAUUAAAAUUUAAAUCCGAAUCCGAACUCGAAUCUGAUGAAUUUUACAAAUCCAUAUCCAAAUCCGAACCCGUUCAAGACUCCGAAACCCGGCCCCGAAAAUCCUAACCCGCAAUAAUAUUUAAAUAAUUUUUUUAAUUUCUCUCUCUUAAAUUUUUUUGAAGCUUAAAAUUUAAAAUUAGAUUUGAAAAUUAAAAA
rnacentral:lncRNA from 1 species